UGGGUGAGUAACACGUGGGGAACCGUAGCCCUAACGUCUGGGAGUACCAUUUGGUAACAAGGUGCUAAUACCGGAGUAAUAAAGCAGAUCGCAUGAUCAGCUUUUGAAAGGCGGCGUAAGCUGUCGCUAAGGGAUGGCCCCCGCGGUGCAUUAGCUAGUUGGUAAGGUAACGGCUUACCAAGGCGACGAUGCAUAGCCGAGUUGAGAGACUGAUCGGCCACAUUGGGACUGAGACACGGCCCAAACUCCUACGGGAGGCAGCAGUAGGGAAUCUUCCACAAUGGACGCAAGUCUGAUGGAGCAACGCCGCGUGAGUGAAGAAGGUUUUCGGAUCGUAAAGCUCUGUUGUUGGUGAAGAAGGAUGUGAGUAGCAACUGGCUCAUAUUUGACGGUAAUCAACCAGAAAGUCACGGCUAACUACGUG
rnacentral:rRNA from 1 species